rnacentral:rRNA from 1 species
GCAUAUCAAUAAGCGGAGGAAAAGAAACUAACAAGGAUUCCCCUAGUAACGGCGAGUGAAGCGGGAAGAGCUCAAAUUUAAAAUCUGGCAGGCUACGCUUGUCCGAAUUGUAAUCUCGAGAAGUGUUUUCCGCGUUGGCCUGUGUACAAGUCCCUUGGAACAGGGCGUCAUAGAGGGUGAGAAUCCCGUCCUUGACACAGAUACCCAAUGCUUUGUGAUACACUCUCAAUGAGUCGAGUUGUUUGGGAAUGCAGCUCAAAAUGGGUGGUAAAUUCCAUCUAAAGCUAAAUACUGGCGAGAGACCGAUAGCGAACAAGUACCGUGAGGGAAAGAUGAAAAGCACUUUGGAAAGAGAGUCAAACAGUACGUGAAAUUGUUGAAAGGGAAACGAUUGAAGUCAGUCGUGCCUGCCUAGUCUCAGCCUUUUGGUGUACUACUAGGCCGGCAGGUCAGCAUCAGUUUGGGAGGAUUAACAAGGGAGUUAGGAAUGUGGCAACCUCGGUUGUGUUAUAGCCUAGCUUCGCAUUGAUCUUGCUGGACUGAGGAACGCAGUGCGCCCGCAAGGGUUGGUCUUCGGACACAUUCGCACUUAGGAUGCUGGCAUAAUGGCUUUAAACGACCCGUCUUGAAACACGGACC